UUGAAUGAUCCCUUCGGGGUGAAUUAUCGAUCGGAUUAGCGGCGAACGGGUGAGUAACGCGUGAGGAACCUGCCUCUUACAACGGGAUAGCCUCGGGAAACCGGGAUUAAUACCGUAUAAGACUCCGUACUAUCUCCUGAUGAUGAAGUCAAAGCGUUAGCGGUAAGAGAUGGCCUCGCGUCUGAUUAAGCUUGUUGGCGGGGUAACGGCCCACCAAGGCGACGAUCAGUAACCGGCCUGAGAGGGUGAACGGUCACAUUGGAACUGAGACACGGUCCAAACUCCUACGGGAGGCAGCAGUGGGGAAUCUUGCACAAUGGGGGAAACCCUGAUGCAGCGACGCCGCGUGAACGAAGAAGGCUUUCGAGUCGUAAAGUUCUUUUAUAUGGGAAGAUAAUGACGGUACCAUAAGAAAAAGCCCCGGCUAACUACGUGCCAGCAGCCGCGGCUAAUACGUAGGGGGCUAGCGUUGUCCGGAAUCAUUGGGCGUAAAGGGUACGUAGGCGGGUAAGCAAGUAGAAGUGAAAUCCUAUAGCUCAACUAUAGUAAGCUUCUUAAAACUGCUCAUCUUGAGGUAUGGAAGGGAAAGUGGAAUUCCUAGUGUAGCGGUGAAAUGACGCAGAUAAUUAGGAGGAAUAACCGGUGGCGAAGGCGACUUUCUGGCCAUAACCUUGACGCUGAGGUACGAAAGCGUGGGUAGCAACAACAGCGAUUAGAUACCCUCGGUAGUCCACCGCCGUAAACGAUUGAUGUGUUAGUGUGUCUGGGAGUAAAUCUGGGUGCCGCAGCUAACGCAUUAAACACUCCGCCUGGGGAGUACGCGCGCAAG
rnacentral:rRNA from 1 species